rnacentral:rRNA from 1 species
GACGAACGCUGGCGGCGUGCUUAACACAUGCAAGUCGAACGAAGUGGCGAACGGGUGAGUAACGCGUAAUCAACCUGCCCUUCAGAGGGGGACAACAGUUGGAAACGACUGCUAAUACCGCAUACUGAAGGAGGGGAUUGAGUCGGCUUAGCUAGUGGGGGGGUUAACGGCCAACCAAGGCGACGACCAGUAGCCGUUCUUGUAGGAUGAACGGGCACAUUGGGACUGAGACACGGCCCAGACGCCUACGGGAAGCAGCAGUGGGGAAUCUUCCGCAAUGGACGAAAGUCUGACGGAGCAACGCCGCGUGAGUGAUGACGGCCUUCGGGUUGUAAAGCUCUGUUAAUCGGGACGCGGUACCGGAAUAGAAAGCCACGGCUAACUACGUGCCAGCAGCCGCGGUAAUAC